rnacentral:lncRNA from 1 species
AACAAACUUUAGCAUCACAUAGUUUAAAAAUGUGUCAUUUUAAAUGUACACUAAAAUUGCAUUUUAUUUCUUUCUAGUCAAACAAAAGCUCUCUGAAUGAAGAUUCAGAGAUUUCGUGGGCUUUGUCUAAAUUCAAAGUGCCCUCUACUGUCAAAAAUGUGUACUACUGAGAAAGAGAAAAUCUGACAAGUCUGAAAUAAAAAUCUAGACAGUGAGAGACAGAUGGAAGAAAACCAGGAAAGGGACUGUGUUAUAGAAGAAGUUAUGAAGAAAACAGUGAAUGAGUUUGGCAUAUGAAGAGGACACUCUUGUAAAUGAAGCAUUAUCCUCAGAGAUUUUCUUGGCUGAAAAUGCAUCAUCAAUGAUCAGUUCAAGAGGAAGCCUUAAUAGAAGGAUGCAUGAAAUCUUGGUGGUUGAGAUUUGGCAAGAUCAAUGUGAUAGCCAAGGUAAGAGUAUUGUUUAUCAAAUUGAGUCAUAUUUAGA